CUCUUGAAGACACCAAGGGCCCUUCAAAACACAUGAUGUUCCUGCUCACAGCAUAAAGCCCAGUUCCCUUUGGCCUCUGCAGGUUGGCUCAUCACCAGGGAACCUGUGCCUCCUCUGAGACUAAAGCACCACUCCAGUAACAGGUCCAAGGACUGAGCCAACGUACUAGUGGACUAAUUUUUGGGAGGCUCUGGAAAGCUCAUUGAACACUUUCCUCACAAAUCUACCAGCUUCCUUGUUCCCCAGAUGGCUAUGGGUUGAAAGAUUCCAAUGUCUCACUGCCAAGACUGCUGCCUGUCUUUUGGCUUCCUUGAUGAUGUGUCUCCCUUUUCCCAGAGAGAUAAGUACAGCAAAAAGGUAAGAGAACUGAUGAGAAACGUUGGAAGGCACAAUGGGUUAAUAUAUGACACAACUCCGAACUGUGAGCAACUUAUACGACCUUUAGCAACUUUAUUCCUCAACAUGAGCCUUCAUUUCCUCAUUUAUAACAUGAGUAGGUGAGACUAGAUGCUAUUUCUUUUAUAGCCGCCAUUCUUGAGUCCCGAUGGUACAAGGACCCAUUGUUAGGCCUACAUCUCCCAUGAAGAUCUCAUCUCCCCACUGAAGCACCUGGCUCGGCCUCCUGCAGUGCCACGCUCCGUGUAUUUGACAAGCUGAGUUGGACACUCCAUGUGGUAGAGUGUCAGUUUGUCAAAUACCCCAAGUGCGGCAUGUGCCUAGCAGCUCCAAGCCAGGCCAGUUGGGGUACAACAAAUAGAUGAUCAGCAGGAUAAAAUAACACACAACAAAUACCAACUAAGCUCUCACAGGUUAUUUUAAGGUAACUGAGAGAAUGUAAGCAUUGUAUCUCAGGUCUGGAAAAGUCAGACAGCUUUAAGAGCCACAGCCCUGGGUGGUGCCUACAUAUAUUGUGAGAGCCUGAGGGGGGAAAGGUAGCCUUGUAAAGGUAUCCAGGGCCCAGGGAUGAAAAUGCUACUUGAUUCAUUAUUUUUUUUCUUCACAUUCCCCAUUCCAGAGUAUACCAGCCGUCUCACACAACCAUCAUGGCAGAGCUUAGAAGCCCAUUUUUCUGACACUCAGUCUUAGCUCUAAACGCACUUUGACCUUACCUAUCUCUCUCCUUUUCCUCAUGCUUUUUCUCCUUCUGAGAACACCGUCCCCAUUUAUUUCUGCCUGAUUCCUUCCCAUAUUUCCUUGUACAGGCAAAAUCAAGUUUCUGCAGGGACUUUUGAAAAAUAAACCUAUACUUUUUUCCUUCAUUCUCAAAUCACUUCUUGCCUGGGUCCUUCUAUGUACACCUUUAUCUCCUACUGCCCAAUAACACUGCUUAAAUUGUUAAUUAUCUUUUUCAGAAUAUAUUUUGAAUCCUCUACUUUGUUUAUGACAAGACCAUGUUUCCUUGAUUGCUGUCUCUCCAUUUCAUUCCUACCCCCACAGGACUCUGGUUACAGAAAAUAUUCAAUAAAGUUUUACUGAUUGAUUGA